rnacentral:lncRNA from 1 species
CACUCACCGAGAACGCACUUGGUAUGGAGCUGACCCUGGACCAGAAGAAGCAGCGCACCUGCAUUAUUGCGAUUACAACCCUCGAGUCUUUCGAGACCCAUGGUCUCGUCAUGCGCAACCACAAGAGCCAACAGAGGAGACAUGGCCGGAGAGACAAGAUCACCAGUGGACAAACCCGCCUUUUCAUACGGGCAGGUACUCCACUGAUCCAUAUGGAGCUUCAGGAUCCAGACCUCCACCCCAAGUUGAUGCAGGACGAUACUCCGAUGCCUCCUUCGCCUUCAUGAAUGACUAUUACCAAGAGGCCGGUGCUUUCUUCACUCGUACCGACAACACCCUCCUCGACAUCCAGAACACGCAAGCAGAACAUGGAAGACUCCUGGAAGAGCAACAAAAAUAGAACCAGGACCAUGCAGCUGCAGUAGAAGAGCCGAGACAAGAUACAACAACAAUGAACGACAACAUCACAACCAUGAUGCGGUUCUGGAACAUCGGGUAAGACCGACGUCAACAUCCAGCUUGGGGGAGUUUCUCCCCAAUUUAUCAAGUAAGUUUCUAUUUGCUCUUCUUAUUUAUUCUAUUCUGUCUUAGUAUUUAAUUUAUCUUAAAAGGAAAAAAACUUAGAAAACCAAAUAAAUAUUUUCUUGCUUUAAUUUACUGCACUUUAUAAACAUGAAAACAAAAUAAAAAGAGUGUGUAGAUAAGUGUGCUUUAUUUACCUGCUAAGUUCAAUCUCUAGAAAAAAAUAAAAAGACCAAAAAUAUGCAUGAUGGAAAUGAUGAACAGUUGCUCUGUUUGCUUACUUUCAAGUACCUAGCUUUUAUAUUAGAAUUCUUCCAGGAAUUACUAAAACUGAAACUUACUAUCUUUGGGAAGCAUAAAACUAAAGUCUAGGUAAGAGAAAGGCAUGAUAUAAAGUUGAGCUACUGUUUAUCUUGUUCCUACUACACUAAGUUCUAGAGAUUUAUUUUGAAAACUUACAAAUCACAUGAUGAGUUCCUAGCAUUGCAAACUACCUACCACAGCCAUACUUGCUAUAACAUCUUUUACUAUAUUCACAUUGAGUUUGAUCGAGCUGUGUUGACCCUUAGGAGCUUUUCAUGUGGUUAAAUUAAGAUAUUCACUUGCACACAUCUACCACAGCAUUCAUCACCAAUCAUUAAAAUUGCUAAAAAUAUAAUCACUCACUGUCCCGAAUAUUGUUAUUCUCUCUCUAAAAAGAUUUAAUGCAGAAGAGGCAUGGGUUAUGCAAAAAUAUACGAGGAAAUAAAAAGGGGCAAGUGCCCGGAACCUCGAAAAAGAAAGAAAAAGAGUGAGACGAGAGGUAAAAAUGGACAAGUGUCCGGAGUAGAAUUAGGGGUACAAAGAUGCCCACUUGAGCGGAAAAAAUGGACAAGUGUCCGACAGUAGAAUUAGGGGUAUCUACUACCCACCUUAAAAAAAAAGAGAGAAGAAGAAAAAGAUAGCCCAUGUUCUCCCAAAGCAAAGAUCAAAGAAGAGGAGAGAUAGCAAUAU